rnacentral:rRNA from 1 species
AACGUAGGACGCGAGCGUUAUCCGGAGUUACUGGGCGUAAAGGGCGGGUAGGCGGCUAAUCAAGUUGGUUGUGAAAUCUCCUGGCUAAACUGGGAGGGUGCAAUCGAAACUGAUAGGCUAGAGGACAGCAGAGGGCCGUGGAAUUCCGGGUGGAGUGGUGAAAUGCGUAGAGAUCCGGAGGAACACCAGAGGCGAAAGCGGCGGCCUGGGCUGUAACUGACGCUGAACCGCGAAAGCCAGGGGAGCGAACGGG